rnacentral:rRNA from 1 species
CUUGCUUCUCUUGAGAGCGGCGGACGGGUGAGUAAUGCCUAGGAAUCUGCCUGGUAGUGGGGGAUAACGUCCGGAAACGGACGCUAAUACCGCAUACGUCCUACGGGAGAAAGCAGGGGACCUUCGGGCCUUGCGCUAUCAGAUGAGCCUAGGUCGGAUUAGCUAGUUGGUGGGGUAAUGGCUCACCAAGGCGACGAUCCGUAACUGGUCUGAGAGGAUGAUCAGUCACACUGGAACUGAGACACGGUCCAGACUCCUACGGGAGGCAGCAGUGGGGAAUAUUGGACAAUGGGCGAAAGCCUGAUCCAGCCAUGCCGCGUGUGUGAAGAAGGUCUUCGGAUUGUAAAGCACUUUAAGUUGGGAGGAAGGGCAGUAAAUUAAUACUUUGCUGUUUUGACGUUACCGACAGAAUAAGCACCGGCUAACUCUGUGCCAGCAGCCGCGGUAAUACAGAGGGUGCAAGCGUUAAUCGGAAUUACUGGGCAUAAAGCGCGCGUAGGUGGUUCGUUAAGUUGGAUGUGAAAUCCCCGGGCUCAACCUGGGAACUGCAUUCAAAACUGACGAGCUAGAGUAUGGUAGAGGGUGGUGGAAUUUCCUGUGUAGCGGUGAAAUGCGUAGAUAUAGGAAGGAACACCAGUGGCGA